AACAAGGCGUACCUGCGGACCUGCGGAGGGAUCAUUACAGAGUGUUUAACCCCCUAUAAAAUGGUGGGUCUAACCUCCCGUCCUUUGCUGGGUCCCCCUUCUGGAGGACUUUCAAAACUUUCUGCUUCGGCGGGGUAUACCCGCCGGAACACCCUCAAAAAAUUCUUGAUCAAAAUGGUUCGGUCCGAGAAACUUUUUGUGAAAAUUAGCGAAAAACUUUUAACAAUGGAUCUCAGAUCG
rnacentral:misc_RNA from 1 species